NNNNNNNNNNNNNNNNNNNNNNNNNNNAAUACUCCACACCUCCACAACCUUACAGAACACUACACAAUCCUCUGUACACACCCCCCACACCCUCCACACACCCCACACACUACAUACACCCUCCACACACACACAGUGCCCACAUACACCUCCCCCUCCACACACACACACACACACAGUCCACACACACACCUCCCCCUCCACACACACCCACCCACACACACAUACACAGUCCCCACGCACACCUCCCCCUCCACACACACACACACACACAGUCCCCACGUACACCUCCCCCUCCACACACACACACACACAGUCCCCACGUACACCUCCCCCUCCACACACACCCACACACACACACACACACAGUCCCCACGCACACCUCCCCCUCCACAGACACCCACACCCACACACACACACAGUCCCCACGCACACCUCCCCCUCCACACACACCCACACCCACACACACACACAGUCCCCACGCACACCUCCCCCUCCACACACACCCACACCCACACACAGUCCCCACACACACCUCCCCUUCCACACACACCCACACCCACACCCACACACAGUCCCCACGCACACCUCCCCCUCCACACACACACCCCCACACACACACAGAGUCCCCACACACACACCCCCACACACACACAGUCCCCACACACACCUCCCCCUCCACACACACACACAGUCCCCACGCACACCUCCCCCUCCACACACACCCACGUGCGCACACACACGCAGCUCUGCUGCUGAUCUCAGCCUGGGAAAGCUGUGCCUCCUGGGACGUGCGUUCACAGGAGUUGGGCCCAGGCUGGGCUCUGACGCGGGGCCGCCACAGGAGGGGACGGGACAGGCGCGAGGAGCGCGGUGCUUCUGUGGCCCCCAGGGAGGCAGCGGCCCGGUCUCGCCAGAUCUUCCUUGUGCGUGGCUGCUGUGGGGCGGGGGCUGGGGGCUGGCUGGGGAGCCCCCGCUGCCCGGCCUCAUUUUCUCCUCUCACUGCAGGGCUGUGGGACUCUGAAGGGCGGAACGGCCGCCCUCGGCCCACGCGGCAUUCUAUGCGCGGCAUUCUAUGCUUCAGGCGGUGGAGUCAGAAAUGAGUUUGGGGGCCUCUAAAUGCUCUGUAGUGCACCUGUUCGCGCAGCCCCCCGCCCCGGGCUUGCGGGAAGCUUCUGGACUGUGUUCCUGCAGAUCACGGUGGGAGUGGACCGUGACCCCCCCCAGCCCAGGGGCAGCCCCACUCACACCAAGUUUUAGCCCCAGCCUGCCCCUCCCCCCCCCCCCAAUGGGUGGCUUAGGCCAAGCGAGCUGGGGCCUGGACACCCUCCACUUCCCGCCUUGCCCCGUGCAGGGGCCGGAGCAGGCAGAGGGGAAGAGCAGGGAGUACGCCCCUGUGAGCCCCUCACGGGUGAGCCGAGGGAGGAGGCCUCUGGGCCUGAAAAGAAAGGGUCGUGUCUGCCCCGGGGGUGUGGGCAGGGGGGCUCGAACUGGAGUAGAAUUUCCUGAUGGAUGGGCUGGGCUCCGGGAGGGCAGGCAGGGAAGGAGUGAAAAAGCCAGGGAAUCUUUUGGG
ensembl:lncRNA